GAUGAACGCUGGCGGCGUGCCUAAUACAUGCAAGUCGAGCGAAUGGAUUAAGAGCUUGCUCUUAUGAAGUUAGCGGCGGACGGGUGAGUAACACGUGGGUAACCUGCCCAUAAGACUAGGAUAACUCCGGGAAACCGGGGCUAAUACCGGAUAACAUUUUGAACCGCAAGGUUCGAAAUUGAAAGGCGGCUUCGGCUGUCACGUCUGGAUGGACCCGCGUCGCAUUAGCUAGUUGGUGAGGUAACGGCUCACCAAGGCAACGAUGCGUAGCCGACCGGAGAGGGUGAUCGGCCACACUGGGACUGAGACACGGCCCAGACUCCUACGGGAGGCAGCAGUAGGGAAUCUUCCGCAAUGGACGAAAGUCUGACGGAGCAACGCCGCGUGAGUGAUGAAGGCUUUCGGGUCGUAAAACUCUGUUGUUAGGGAAGAACAAGUGCUAGUUGAAUAAGCUGGCACCUUGACGGUACCUAACCAGAAAGCCACGGCUAACUACGUGCCAGCCGCCGCGGUAA
rnacentral:rRNA from 1 species